rnacentral:rRNA from 1 species
GGUGACAGCCCCGUACACAAAAGCGCAUGUGCUGUGAGCUCGAUGAGUAGGGCGGGACACGUGGUAUCCUGUCUGAAUAUGGGGGGACCAUCCUCCAAGGCUAAAUACUCCUGACUGACCGAUAGUGAACCAGUACCGUGAGGGAAAGGCGAAAAGAACCCCGGCGAGGGGAGUGAAAAAGAACCUGAAACCGUGUACGUACAAGCAGUGGGAGCACAGGUUUACCUGUGUGACUGCGUACCUUUUGUAUAAUGGGUCAGCGACUUAUAUUCUGUAGCAAGGUUAACCGUAUAGGGGAGCCGGAGGGAAACCGAGUCUUAACCGGGCGUUAAGUUGCAGGGUAUAGACCCGAAACCCGGUGAUCUAGCCAUGGGCAGGUUGAAGGUUGGGUAACACUAACUGGAGGACCGAACCGACUAAUGUUGAAAAAUUAGCGGAUGACCUGUGGCUGGGGGUGAAAGGCCAAUCAAACCGGGAGAUAGCUGGUUCUCCCCGAAAGCUAUUUAGGUAGCGCCUCGUGAACUCAUCUCCGGGGGUAGAGCACUGUUUCGGCUAGGGGGCCAUCCCGGCUUACCAACCCGAUGCAAACUGCGAAUACCGGAGAAUGUUAUCACGGGAGACACACGGCGGGUGCUAACGUCCGUCGUGAAGAGGGAAACAACCCAGACCGCCAGCUAAGGUCCCAAAGUCAUGGUUAAGUGGGAAACGAUGUGGGAAGGCCCAGACAGCCAGGAUGUUGGCUUAGAAGCAGCCAUCAUUUAAAGAAAGCGUAAUAGCUCACUGGUCGAGUCGGCCUGCGCGGAAGAUGUAACGGGGCUAAACCAUGCACCGAAGCUGCGGCAGCGACACUCAGGUGUUGUUGGGUAGGGGAGCGUUCUGUAAGCCUGUGAAGGUGUGUCGUGAGGCAUGCUGGAGGUAUCAGAAGUGCGAAUGCUGACAUAAGUAACGAUAAAGCGGGUGAAAAGCCCGCUCGCCGGAAGACCAAGGGUUCCUGUCCAACGUUAAUCGGGGCAGGGUGAGUCGACCCCUAAGGCGAGGCCGAAAGGCGUAGUCGAUGGGAAACGGGUUAAUAUUCCCGUACUUGGUGUUACUGCGAAGGGGGGACGGAGAAGGCUAUGUUGGCCGGGCGACGGUUGUCCCGGUUUAAGCGUGUAGGUGUGUGUUCCAGGUAAAUCCGGUCCACUUUAACACUGAGGCGUGAUGACGAGGCACUACGGUGCUGAAGCAACAAAUGCCCUGCUUCCAGGAAAAGCCUCUAAGCAUCAGGUAACAUCAAAUCGUACCCCAAACCGACACAGGUGGUCAGGUAGAGAAUACCAAGGCGCUUGAGAGAACUCGGGUGAAGGAACUAGGCAAAAUGGUGCCGUAACUUCGGGAGAAGGCACGCUGACACGUAGGUGAAGUGAUUUACUCA